AUUGAACGCUGGCGGCAGGCCUAACACAUGCAAGUCGAGCGAGCGGCGGACGGGUGAGUAAUGUAUGGAGAUCUGCCAGACAGAGGGGUAUAACGACUGGAAACCUUGGAUAAAACCGCAUAAUACCGGAUGAACCCAGAUGGGAUUAGCUAGUAGGUGGGGUAAAGGCUAACCUAGGCGACAAUCUCUAGCUGGUCUGAGAGGAUGAUCAGCCACACUGUGACUGAGACACGGCCCAGACUCCUACGGGAGGCAGCAGUGGGGAAGCUUGCGCAAUGGGCGCAAGUCUGAUGGAGCCAUGCCGCGUGUAUGAAGAAGGCCUUAGGGUUGUAAAGUUCUUUCAGCGGGGAGGCGUUACCCGCAGAAGAAGCCCCGGCUAACUCCGUGCCAGCCGCCGCGGUAAUAC
rnacentral:rRNA from 1 species